AUUGAACGCUGGCGGCAGGCCUAACACAUGCAAGUCGAGCGGAUGAAGGGAGCUUGCUCCUGGAUUCAGCGGCGGACGGGUGAGUAAUGCCUAGGAAUCUGCCUGGUAGUGGGGGAUAACGUCCGGAAACGGGCGCUAAUACCGCAUACGUCCUGAUGGAGAAAGUGGGGGAUCUUUGGACCUUACGCUAUCAGAUGAGCCUAGGUCGGAUUAGCUAGUUGGUGGGGUAACGGCCUACCAAGGCGACGAUCCGUAACUGGUCUGAGAGGAUGAUCAGUCACACUGGAACUGAGACACGGUCCAGACUCCUACGGGAGGCAGCAGUGGGGAAUAUUGGACAAUGGGCGAAAGCCUGAUCCAGCCAUGCCGCGUGUGUGAAGAAGGUCUUCGGAUUGUAAAGCACUUUUAGUUGGGAGGAAGGGCAGUAAGUUAAUACCUUGCUGUUUUGACGUUACCAACAGAAUAAGCACCGGCUAACUACGUG
rnacentral:rRNA from 1 species